AUUGAACGCUGGCGGCAGGCCUAACACAUGCAAGUCGAGCGGAUGAAGAGAGCUUGCUCUCUGAUUCAGCGGCGGACGGGUGAGUAAUGCUUAGGAAUCUGCCUGGUAGUGGGGGACAACAGUUGGAAACGACUGCUAAUACCGCAUACGUCCUACGGGAGAAAGCAGGGGACCUUCGGGCCUUGCGCUAUCAGAUGAGUCUAGGUCGGAUUAGCUUGUUGGUGAGGUAAUGGCUCACCAAGGCGACGAUCCGUAACUGGUCUGAGAGGAUGAUCAGUCACACUGGAACUGAGACACGGUCCAGACUCCUACGGGAGGCAGCAGUGGGGAAUAUUGGACAAUGGGCGAAAGCCUGAUCCAGCCAUGCCGCGUGUGUGAAGAAGGUCUUCGGAUUGUAAAGCACUUUAAGUUGGGAGGAAGGGCAGUAAGUUAAUACCUUGCUGUUUUGACGUUACCGACAGAAUAAGCACCGG
rnacentral:rRNA from 1 species